UACGUAGGAGGCAAGCGUUGUCCGGAAUUACUGGGCGUAAAGCGCGUGUAGGUGGUGGGACAAGUCUGCUGUGAAAGCGCCUGGCUUAACCGGGCGAGGUCGGCGGAAACUGUUCGACUCGAGGACGGUAGAGGGGGGUGGAAUUCCCGGUGUAGUGGUGAAAUGCGUAGAGAUCGGGAGGAACACCCGUGGCGAAGGCGGCCAACUGGGCCGGACCUGACGCUGAGGCGCGAAGGCGUGGGGAGCGAACGGG
rnacentral:rRNA from 1 species